rnacentral:lncRNA from 1 species
ACUGUCCUAAGCGUUGGGGUAGAGAAGGGAUCACCAGGCCGGACGCCUUUCUUGUCCCACUUGGGGCUUUCCUCUCUGAGUAAUAAUAAUAAUAAUAAUAAUACAUAUGAUAUUUAAGCACUGUUCUAAGCGCCGGGGUAGAUACAGGGUAAUCAGGUUGUCCCACGUGGGGCUCACAUUUUUUAAUCCCCAUUUUUGCAGAUGAGAUAACUGAGGCCCAGAGAAGAGAAGUGACUUGCCCAGGGUCACACAGCAGACAAGUGGGGCUCACAUUUUUUAAUCCCCAUUUUUGCAGAGGAGGUAACUGAGGCCCAGAGGAAGGGAAGUGACUUGCCCAGGGUCACACAGCCGACAAGUGGGGCUCACAUUUUUUAAUCCCCAUUUUUGCAGAGGAGAUAACUGAGGCCCAGAGGAAGGGAAGUGACUUGCCCAGGGUCACACAGCAGACAAGUGGGGCUCACAUUUUUUAAUCCCCAUUUUUGCAGAGGAGAUAACUGAGGCCCAGAGGAAGGGAAGUGACUUGCCCAGGGUCACACAGCAGACAAGUGGCGGAGCCGGGAUUAGAACCCACGCCCUCUGCCUCCCAAGCCCAGACUCUUUCCACUAAGCCACGCUGCUUCUCUAUAGAAGGAGUAGGAGGGAGGAGGAUUGAAUCCCCAUUUUCCAGUUGAUGAGGCUGAUAAGGAUGAUGAUCGCGAUGAUCCCAGGCGAGAGGCAGGGAUUUCUUUCCCUGUAGAUCUGCCAUGGGAAACUUUUGCAGACUCUCUUGAGUAGCCGAGGGGGAGAGGGGGACAAGUGCGGAAUUCCCCAGGGAACACCGGUUGAGGCUGGAGCUUCCAAUCCUGAGAUUUUCCUGAGCAAUUCCAACCGAAUCGGGAGAAAUGGAAUCCCAAAGGAUCCAGUCUCUCCAAUAAUGACAAAUGAUUUUGUUUGGGACAGCGAUUCUGAGAAAGACUAGAUUUCUACGUCUACUACAUUGGGAGCAGGUCCAGCUGGGGAGGUGACCCAGGAUUUUCACUGGCUCAGGAUGACAGCAUAAGAAGUGUGCUAUUGAUCCAAGGCACCCCACCCUUUCCUCCAAGACUUCUCCAGCAUUCUUCUCUUUUGUGUGGGCAAGGAAGGCGGAAGUCUUAUCAC